rnacentral:rRNA from 1 species
GAUGAACGCUGGCGGCGUGCCUAAUACAUGCAAGUCGAGCGAACGGACGAGAAGCUUGCUUCUCUGAUGUUAGCGGCGGACGGGUGAGUAACACGUGGAUAACCUACCUAUAAGACUGGGAUAACUUCGGGAAACCGGAGCUAAUACCGGAUAAUAUUUUGAACCGCAUGGUUCAAUAGUGAAAGACGGUCUUGCUGUCACUUAUAGAUGGAUCCGCGCUGCAUUAGCUAGUUGGUAAGGUAACGGCUUACCAAGGCAACGAUGCAUAGCCGACCGGAGAGGGUGAUCGGCCACACUGGAACUGAGACACGGUCCAGACGCCUACGGGAGGCAGCAGUAGGGAAUCGUCCGCAAUGGGCGAAAGCCUGACGGAGCAACGCCGCGUGAGUGAUGAAGGUCUUCGGAUCGUAAAACUCUGUUAUUAGGGAAGAACAUAUGUGUAAGUAACUGUGCACAUCUUGACGGUACCUAAUCAGAAAGCCACGGCUAACUACGUG